UACGAAGGGUGCAAGCGUUACUCGGAAUUACUGGGCGUAAAGCGUGCGUAGGUGGUUGUUUAAGUCUGAUGUGAAAGCCCCGGGCCCAACCUGGGAAUGGCAUUUGGGACUGCAAGGCUUGAGUGCGGCAGAGGAGACUGGAAUUCCUGGUGUAGCAGUGAAAUGCGUAGAUAUCAGGAGGAAUACCGAUGGCGAAGGCAGGUCUCUGGGCUGACACUGACGCUCAUGCACGAAAGCGUGGGGAGCAAACAGG
rnacentral:rRNA from 1 species